GUCGCUCCCCGGGCCGGCCGGGCGGCGGGGGGCUGCCGGGUGGCGCAGCGGCUCCGCGACGCGCGGAAGGGUGCGGGGAGUGCUCUGACUCCAGCCCCGUCUCGGCUCCCAUUUACGGCCGCACACCUUCCUCCUUCCCCUUCCCGAAGGGUCAGCCGAUAUGCGCGCCGAAGAAGGGGGAGAGCUGCUCUGCUGGUUUGGGUUUUGUCUGCUUAAACGAUGAACGGGGAAACCUUCCUCUCUCCGGUUUGAUAAAUAAUAAAAGUGAUCGUUUCGCCUUCCCCAUAAAUGACACAGGUAAAUUGCCCAGCUAGCUACAAAGAAGCAUCACAUGUCUGGAAGACAGUGUAAUAAAAUGCCAAUGUAUUGCAAUAUGAGUGACCUCGAAAGUGUGACAAGAAGAUGAUGAUUAUAGUGCAUUAUAUCUAGUGCAUUAUAUGUAGUGCCUUUUUCAAUAUUUUCUGAAGCAUGAAUGAACCUUCGUUUGAUUGUGCUUUUAUUGCUAGCUUUUCUCAGCUUGAACUUCCAAGCCGCGUGACACAGUACUUACCCAAUUCAGUAUGCCCAGGUACAUGGCCAUGCUGGUUGCUUCUUCUGUUUGCUGCUUUCAAAUAUACAUGCAUACAAAAAACAAAGAUAAGAUCGGCAUUUGACUUUUUCUGUAUGUGGCACUAUAUCCAGAUAAUUUACUAAUUUUCAGCCCAUCACAUUGGCCAGGUAAAGAUCUGAGUUUCUACCUGCAAGAUUUUACGUUUUCAGAUGCAGGCUCCUACCUUCAGGCUCCUAUAUGAGUCUGCACAUAUGACACACUGUUAACUGAUGGUGGAAGCUGCUUGUUAUCUGUCAGAGAUCAGUAAUUUGCAUGGCUUGGUAUUGUGAGGUACAUACUGAUAAAUGUACGUGUUCUCGCUAGUCGAGCAGAUGCAGAUGCUGUAUGUGCAAAACAUUGCACAUCCUGUAAUCCCACAAUGUGUAAAGAUUAAACACUCUCAGUUCUGCU